UGGACGUAAGCAAUUUAUUGAAUUACUUUAGAAUUAUCUUAUGUGAUUUUUAGACAGGCCGGAGGCACAACACACAUCACUCCUCGGGACCCACAACGUCUUGGCAAGCAACUAGUCCUCCAGUGGCGCCCCAGUCUGUAACUGUGUUGGCGUCAUUUGCGGUGCUCGCCACCUUAAAGUCACAAAUUUGGGGGUAUCUUUCAUGAAUCUUACGGGCUCCAUCCCUCCACACCUAGGUAAUCUCUCAUUCCUUGCCUUCCUGCACGCCCGUAACAACAGCUUUCAUGGCUCCCUGCCGAAUGAGUUGGCUUGUUUGCGUCAAUUGAAGUCUAUCAGCUUUGGAUCCGACAACUUGGAGGGACAGAUCCCGCCAUGGUUAGGGUCUUUGUCAAAUCUUCAAAACUUUGUCUCUAUACAAUAACCGUUUUAGAGGUCACUAAUUUCCCAAAUCCCACCACCAUUUUCAACACAGCUUCACUGCGAGUACUUCAUCUCAGCGAUAAUCCGCUUUCAGACGUCGCAUCAGCAUUGGAUUUUCUCCAUCAUGGUCUUUCAACACCUAUUAUCCAUUGUGAUUUGAGGCCGAGCAACAUACUACUGGAUGAAGAUCAUGUGGCUGAUUUGGAGUGGAUUCCAUAACACAGAGUACCAUGACUCCAGAGUAUGGAUUAGAAGGAAGGGUUUCUAGAAAAGGUCACGUGUACAGCUAUUUCAUUUUACUUUUGGAGACUUUCACAAGAAAGAAACUUACAGAUAUUGAGACUUUCACCGGAGACAGAUCAGCAGUUUUCGGUUUAGUCUAUCAUCAAUUAUAGGAUUGGCUCUUGCUUAUAAUGUCUCAAAAAGAUCAAAACAAAACUUUUGAAGGAUGUUGCACGGGCUUAAAGUGAGCGUUGAGAUUGUUUAUGGCUUUUCCUUGUUGGAAACAUUUUACUCGAUCGUUCAUUCUGUUUCAUCAUCAUGGAGUAAACUACAAAGAUUCAUGACGUGGGAAGCUACAAAGAUCUAUACAAGUGUUAACUUCGCUAUGCCCAACCUCGUUAGAUGAGCUGCAACCAAUAAUGUUAUUGGAUGCAUUCCCAUUCAAACUAUCACAUCCCAUCCCACGUCUUCAUCCAACACCUUAGGUCAAAACCCAGAGCUCUGUUUGAAAAUGGAAAUGGAUGUGUUGGUUGAGGAAGGCAUCGGUGAAAUCAAGAAAUGAUGAUACAUGAUGAUCAGUACAAUAUACUACACAACUUUGUAUGGCAGUGAUCUCAACACAUAUGGAAAUGGUCUACUGGCUGCUGGCUCAGUUAUUCUUGAUGAUCUCUUAGCUUGCCUGCCAAAAGUGCUACAGGAAAGUCUUUGGAAACCAUUGUAGAAGGCCAAGGAUGACUCCGUGCCAGAGUAUAUAACUUUCAAUAGAUAUUUUGCAUUAUGGAUAACACUUUCAAUCUUUCGCAUAGAUGGGUGUCCUUCCUUUGCUAGUUGCCUUUCACUGCAUUUGAAAGACCCUACUUGUUUUUCUCAAUAUGCAAUAAUGUUAUACAGGGGUCCAUUGACUGGCCUUGUUUUUCUUUCCAAAAAACCCACGCUAGGAGCGCAAAGAGAACUAUUGUUUUACUUUUUUAUAUGGUUCUUUCUUGAUCUGGGAGUAGAUUUAAGAAUUUCCAUCAAAGCCAAGGAAAAGUUUUUUGGAACGGUAUCAUGGAUCAUUCAGUGUGCAAAUGCUCUAUAUAAUUUAUAUUUUCAGAACUUACCAGUUGCACUAGAGCAUCGCUGUGAUUGGGCGAGGGGUAAGCACUGCCACCUACGAGGAUGUGGUUCAUCUUUUCUUCCGCUAGUUCUUUCAUUCUGAAAAGUUCUGGCAAUACUUUGUUGCAUAGAUCUGGCCUGUCUUUUCGUCUGAGCUCUGCACAUUGUAGUGCUAACUUUGCAAAGCGUAAGGCUUCUUCAACUGGCCAAUCAGGCACAGCUGGGUCUAACAUCUCUGUGAAAGUGCCAUUCUCAAUAGAGUUUUGAACCUGGUGAGCCAGGCCCAUUGGGGACUUGGCUGUUAACAAUUGUAAAAGCACUAUUCCUAGUGAAUAGACAUCAGAUUUUACUCCAAGCAUCCCUGUUUGUUGAUAUUCUGGAUCAAUAUAGCAGAAAGUUCCGGCUGUUGAUGUCAUACAGCAUUCUGUUACAUUUUCAGCUACUGCAGGUACGAGCCUGGCCAAUCCAACAUCACUAAUCUUACUGACAAAAUUGUGGUCUAGCAAAAUGUUUCCUGGCUUGAGGUCACGGUGAACUAACGGCUCUGGCUUGGUCUGAUGGAGAAAGAGUAGCCCAGUGGCGAUUUCUGAGGCAAUUUUGAACCUGAGUUGCCAAGAGAGAACUGGACUGCUUCCUUUCCGGAAAAGGCGGUCAUCUAGACUCCCGUUAGCCAUGUAUUCAUAGACCAGGAUGCCAAACUCAGGACAGGCUCCAAGAAGGAGUACCAUAUUGGGAUGCCUUAUGCAGCUAAGUACGUCAAUCUGCAAUGGAUAAAGGAUAACGUAAGAAUCAACUCUCAGUCCUAUGUUGGUGACUUUCUUGACCUGUGGAGAAGCAAGCCCUUAAUAAAAUGAAGUUUCUGAUCAAGUAUUUGCUUCGCAAGCUCUUUUGCACCCCAUGUCAAGUUGAAAAUGAAAUCAUCAUCAUCAAUAUGAUGAUCAAUUACAUAGUAAUAAUUGUAAAUCCAAUUUUGAAGAAACUAUUUGUGACAUUCACUGGUUUCCUUCCCAUAUAUAACACAUGUUUUGCAAUUAUGCCUGCGCUGACAACUGGUUCAUAGUUAGAAAAUCAAAAUUACGUGUAUCUAUGUGCAAAUCAAUAGAUAUAAAGCACCUAUGGAGCUGUUAAAUUAGGAUAAAUCACACACGCGCGCACACACACAACAUGUUUCCUUCAGAACUAGUGCUGUGAGCUGGGAUUCUUCUGUCUCGUAUAGAAUCUUCUGCCAUUUAUGCCUAUUGUACGAUGUAAAAAUUCUAGAAUGAAAAUUGUUUUACUUUGUUUUAACCAUCCAGUUGGUCUUGUAGAGGAUUUGUGUAGCAAGCUACUGCUAUCUUCCAUUUGUAACAGCGUAUCAAGUCUUUGGAAGGCUCUUUGAAACUGUAGUGAAGUUUUCUAAAACUAACAUAUACGUUGCUCAUUAAUAAAAAUCAGAAACCCAUGUCGUAAUGCAUUGUCCUGUCAUAUACUGUUCCAUAUGAUUUUUUCGUUUUGGUUUAAAGUUGCUAUUUUGAUUUUUGAGUGGGUUAUGUUGUCUUAUAUGUAUUCAUGACUAUUAGGUAAAUUAGAUUCUUGGUUCCUCACCUCUUGUUGAAACUGUGAUCUCCCUUGAGCAGCAUCUGGACGCAAAAGCUUUACUGCAACUGGUGUAUGAUCAAGGUGACACCUAUAGACUGGGCCAUAUCCUCCUUCCCCAAUCUUGCGAGAUUGAGCAAAGAAUUCUGUUGCCAUCUCAAUCUCCUCAAUAGUGUAUAUUCUGUAUUUGAGGUCACUUUGGGCUAGAUUAUCCAAAACCUUCCUUAUUUUAUCUGCUUCUCUGAGAGCUUUGAUUUCUGCAUUUGCUCUUCUUUGUGACUCCAACUCAGCAAUCCUCUUUGCUGCUUCAGCUGCUUCCAUGGCUGCCCUACAUCUAGCUCUCUCUUUCUCUGCUAUUGCCAAUGCAGCUUCCUCGGACAGUCUUGCCUCUUCUAACUUUCUCUCCUUUUCAAGUCUCCCAUGUUUCAGUUCCAUUGCCUAUGAUAAACAUAACAUCAGGAAUUAUCUUUAAAUGUUGAGAAUACACAAAGUACAAGUCUUUUCAAUACGUUUUGUUUUGCUGUAAGUGCUUCUCUGCAUGCUGUGCUGUACACGUCCAUUGUUUGCUUCAGCUCCAGCUUCAACCUUCUCAUCUCAGUUUCCACAUCAUCCUGCAUGUUUUUACUAUCUAUUAAGUGGAAAGUUUUCUGGCUCAAAGAAAACCUGGAAGUCACUGAAUGACCUAUACAUAAUACCACAUUCAUGAGAUUUAUUGUGAGAAAUGGGACUACUGAAAGUGGCUCGUCUUCUGUUGUCUCACAAGUAGCCACUUCACUAUUUUUAUUGGACUCGAUGUAGUGAGCAUUUUAGAACAAUACAAUGAAAAAUUUCAUUCAGGAUAUAUUUUGGGGUGAAUGGAUAUUUUUUGUUAAAAGUUUUAUGACUGGACAUCAGACUUUUCUUAGCUCUAUGGUUGGACUCGGUUUGCAUAUGGUUGCUUGCUGCAAUAGGAUAGUGUAUAAAAAGAAAUGUUGAUUAAGAAGAGCAUGCCCUUACCAAGUUCUGUGACGACCAUGAAGAUGAUGUCCUACUGCUCUCCGAGAAUGAUGAUAGAUCGCCCAAAAGGUUGAGAUCAUUGAACCUAGAUCCUGACCGGAUUGAUCCAAGGCUUUGAUCUGUGCUGGUUGAAAACCGAGAGUUUUUGUCCAAAUCACUAAAAUCAUAGAGAGAAGAAGACGUCCGGUCAGUGCUUGACCUCCCGGAGCUUACAAAUGAUAUGUCAGUAUCUGAUUCUGACAUGUCCAGAUGGGGUUUUGCAUUCGAAGCUCUUCCUCCUCCUCUUGUGACUCGUGACCUGUGUUCAGUCAUGUCAUUCAAACUGUUGUACUCUAAAACUGUUGCA